rnacentral:rRNA from 1 species
AGUGAACGCUGGCGGUAGGCCUAACACAUGCAAGUCGAACGGCAGCACAGUAAGAGCUUGCUCUUACGGGUGGCGAGUGGCGGACGGGUGAGGAAUAUAUCGGAAUCUACUCUUUCGUGGGGGAUAACGUAGGGAAACUUACUCUAAUACCGCAUACGACCUACGGGUGAAAGCAGUGGAUCUUUAGACCUUGCGCGAUUGAAUGAGCCGAUGUCGGAUUAGCUAGUUGGCGGGGUAAAGGCCCACCAAGGCGACGAUCCGUAGCUGGUCUGAGAGGAUGAUCAGCCACACUGGAACUGAGACACGGUCCAGACUCCUACGGGAGGCAGCAGUGGGGAAUAUUGGACAAUGGGCGGAAGCCUGAUCCAGCCAUACCGCGUGGGUGAAGAAGGCCUUCGGGUUGUAAAGCCCUUUUGUUGGGAAAGAAAAGCAGCAGGUUAAUACCCCGCUGUUCUGACGGUACCCAAAGAAUAAGCACCGGCUAACUUCGUG